rnacentral:lncRNA from 1 species
CUCCAACCUGGGUGUCAGAGUGAGACUUCAUCUCAAAAAAAGAAAAGAAAAUGAAAACAUGUUAAAUAAUUUGAAUGCACAUCAAGUAACUAAAUCUCCAUUUUAGAAUCAACCAACGUCUUUCAGACCUGCUCUUCUCACAGUUAUAUUUUUCUAUUAUACCUGUCAUGGUUGCAUAUGUUACAUUUAUUUGUGUGAUUAUCUGAUUAAUGUCUGUUUUUCCCACUAGACUCCAACGCAGUGAGUGCAGAGAUGACACCUGUUUCUGCUCACCGCCGUAUCCUGAGCUCCUGGCUGACAGCUUGUCAUGCAGCAGGCAGUCAGUAAAUAACUGCUGAUGAGGGAACGAGCGGAUGGAAAGCUCAAUCCAACGAACAGGGUAGAAGAUCACACUAGAUAAUGUCAUUUGGGGAUAAAAUAAAAUGUGACUGUCAGUCACGCCCAGUGCCAUGCAGGGUACCUGGUAUGCAGCUCCGAAAGUAUUUGCAGUUGACUAAUUAAUGCAUGAAUGAGGUAUAUCUCUUUUAUAAAAGUCCACCUUCUUGUGUGCCUUAAUUAAUGGAAUAAUUGUGGAUCCUCCCAAGAUCACUUUGGAGAAGACACAGUCUGACUGCAUUUGGGUGCAGCUCUCUGGGGCCUGGCUAACUCAGCCAUACUCUUGUUUCCAGCAUGGAGUGCCUUGGUCCAAUGGCCAGCAGGUGGCAACAAAUGGUUGUUAAAGUGGCGGCCGAGCACUGGAGGCCCUCUCCAGAACAGGUGUCUCUCCUGCUGUGCCUCCAGGACCUGUGUUUUGGAAACGCCAGCAAGCCAGCCCAACAGGCCCUUUUGGCGAUAGAAUAACAACUUGUAAACCCAGAGUAUGACUGCUUAGCUGUCAGAGUUCCAGCUAGAAAUCAGCUGAGAAAAAAAAUCUGAUGACACUCAUCCUGAGAAGUGUUGGAACGGAGCCCCGCCUGGCUUUUGGGUGAUGCAGUCCGAAACCUACUCCCAUCUCUUGUUAAAGUCCCGUGUCAUUGCACAGGAACUCCAGGGACUGUUGGGGAAGGAACAGGAAGCCUCCAGCCCAAGGGAACGGGACUCAUCCUGUUGUCAGGUGAGAUCCUGAGAAGCAUGGAUGAGCCCAGCAUGGGCAGAGCCAUUGAGAAGCUCCUCCCUCCUCAGCUAAGCCUGCACUGGCCAGCAGGUCCCUGAGUCCUGAGAGCAUCCGCCCAAAGCUGUCCCCGUUACUCUCCAGACCUAGCCACGGCACCUCCCAGCUCCUGGUGCCUGAGUCCCUGCCUCUGACUGGGAUCACCAUUUACACCCCCCACUGCACUCCUUGCCCCUCACCUGCCCACUGUGGUAACACUGCCUUGCUCAGAUCCAGUCCUAGUCCUGUGAGAGUUUCUGCCCUGGCCCUUGGUCCAGAUUUCUAGUUUCUGUCUUUAUGUGGUCCACUGCCAGGACUAGAGACGAGUUCAACCAAUGAACAAUAUAAAGUUUGAUUUUGCUGUGAAAGUAAAUAUAAAUGCAAAAUUCACACGAACGCUUAAAAUACCAGACCUCAAAGAAGAGGGCUGUCUGUGGCUCCUGUGAGCAGUCCCUGGGCCCCUGGGGGAGGCAUUCAUCCACUGCCGUUACAGCGCCACCAGCAGGCACUUUUGAGGAGUACAGCUCCGAGGGAUGACUCGGGAGCAAGGAGAAGAAUUCAGCGAACGUGAGAUGUCCUCCAGCAACAUCAGAGACAGUGCCCUUCAGAGGGCUUGUGUCCUACUGGAAUCAGGGGAAAUUCCAUACAGUUCCAGAUAUUAGGCCUCCUAACUGAACUCUAUGCAAUGCCUUUAUUCCCCUCCUCCCAAUCUGUGC